rnacentral:lncRNA from 1 species
UACGGCCGCGCGGAACCCGUCACUACUCUAUUCCCCAGGUGUAAACCUCUGUGCUUUUGCCAUCGCCCGAACCACCAUCAUCCCACUAUUUUCCAUCAAAUUUCAAAACUUUAUUCUCGACGUUAUUGUACUUCGACAUCGUUUCCUGAAACUUUUUUUUCCACAUUUCGACCGAAUAUUCUCAACGAAUGCCGAUGAAACGAACGACGACGAUCACAAGUACACGGCGUUAUUAUUUUCGAGCGCCAAGGGAACGCGAAGUUUUUCUUCUCGCCCGAAAACCAAGACUACUGAAUCUCCGCCUCGAACCAGGUGUGCCACGUGGAAAAAAAGGAGCAGUGAAGAACGACCUCGUGUUUUGUAACACUCUUGGCGAGAGGGACGUCCGUCGAAAGCAACGAAAAAACCGCUGUACAUUCGGGAAUAGAUGUUCGGCCUCAAAUCGAGAACUGAAAAAAAAAAGACACUGGAGAGUCUCGCAGAGAACAAUUUCGCAGCGAAUACCAGCCAACGGACGAGAUACACGGAGGGGGAAUGCGGAGAGGCGAUUAUACGACGUUUCGAUGUCAAAUUCUCUAUCGGAAGUUCUAGGAAAUUCGAGCUGAAUUUAUUUAGGAUCUUUGAAAUGUACCGAAAAUCGCGGUGUCGAAAAUUGGAAUAUUUCGUUUGAAAAUGUUGGUGGAAUCGUUGAAAUUAACGAACUCGUGAUCCCCACCGAGUCAGGCGAUUCGUUUCAGUCGCGAUUGGGCUUCGAAGAUGGAAUUUUCGGAGCCGUUACGUCGUCGGACUCUCUGGAAGGGGAAAAGGAGACUCGGGGUACAAGAAGAGGAUCUUGGCGCGGACAUUUUCUUUGGUUAUCUAGCUGUAUGAGUAUUAUUCGACAUCAUAAAGCUAGGUUACCGGAGUUAAGCUCCUCGCCAUAUCAACUGCCAGGGAUCAAGACUCCGUCGAUUCGAUAGAGCUUCAGAGGAAAACUGCACGUUUAUCAGCGCUAUUAAUCGUCGGGAAGUUGCCGAAAUUCAACAGUUUCUCAGAUAAUUCAUUAUUUUUAUAAUUAUCGAGGAAUCUAAAGAGAUAAAAUAAAAUAUAAAUACGAUGAAUCUCUUGAAUUAGAUCCCAGAAUAAAAUAUCGCAAUUUCUAUAAACGUAUGCAAGAAAAGUUAGAUUCAACGCUAGAUAUGACCGAAGAAUUCCGUUCUAUGCUGGUAUGAUAAGAAUUCGGAAUAAUUAAGCGACUGCGAUGAAAAAGGAGGAUGAAUUAAUUCAGAUCAAUUAACGAGUUCCUGUGUGUGUUCUCAAUUGUUGCGCCCCCGACUUCCCCCGAAUCUUCUAUUUUUCUCGCUUCCUUUUUUUUCAUUCUUCCAGGUGAGGACCCGAUGCGUGACGAACAGACGUACGUUUCCCACAAUAAAGAGAGGAACGUCUUAGUUACGUUUACCAAGUUGCAACCUCUGCGAGCCAACGGGUCACACUAUGAAUAUGCAACCGAAGGGUUAUUGUGGAAACGAGACCAAGACUUUCGUCCCUUCACGCUGGGUUAACUGGGAAAAACCCCGGGAGAUUAGAGACCCGUGAAUCCUUUGAGGAAUUAAACUUCUUUUAUACUCGAUACAACGACGUUCACGAGAGCAGCUGCUACAUUUUGCUGUUCUUCGGGGACCCAAAAUAGGCUCAAUUUUAGUCAUUUUUCUGUGUCGAUACAGACAACUGCGAAUUCUUAGAGAUAAGUUGUUGAUGACAAAUGGAAAAGAAAAAAAAUCGACCCGUCUGAUGACGAAAAACGAAUAGGAUAUUCUCGACUUUGAAGGAAAUUUGUCAGACAGUUUGAUGACAAGCUUUUGAAUAUGGGUACUAAAUAUUAUUGUAAUGAGUUUUGUUUUGCAUGCCUCGUAAUAAAGUGUUGUUUUUUUUAA